GUCCUCGUAGCUUACACCCCAAAGCAUGACACUGAAGAUGUUAAGACGGUCGAUAAUACUUCCCGAGGACA
rnacentral:tRNA from 1 species